UUGAACGCUGGCGGCAGGCCUAACACAUGCAAGUCGGGCGGUAACGAGGGGAGUGCUUGCACUUCGCUGACGAGCGGCGGACGGGUGAGUAAUGCAUAGGAAUCUGCCUGGUAGUGGGGGAUAGGCCCAGAGAAAUUUGGAUUAAUACCGCAUACGCCCUACGGGGGGGGGAAAAGCUGGGGGACCUUCGGGCCUAGCGCUAUCAGAUGAGCCUAUGUCGGAUUAGCUUGUUGGUGAGGUAACGGUUCACCAAGGCGACGAUCCGUAGCUGGUCUGAGAGGAUGAUCAGCCACACUGGGACUGAGACACGGCCCAGACUCCUACGGGAGGCAGCAGUGGGGAAUAUUGGACAAUGGGCGCAAGCCUGAUCCAGCCAUGCCGCGUGUGUGAAGAAGGCCUUCGGGUUGUAAAGCACUUUCAGCGAGGAGGAAAGGGGUGUUGCUAAUAUCGGCGCCCUGUGACGUUACUCGCAGAAGAAGCACCGGCUAACUCCGUG
rnacentral:rRNA from 1 species